GGCCCACAUUUGCAAAAAAAAAAUAUAUAUCAUAUGAUGUAACGGAUGAGACUGGAGGGUCCAAUGCUUUAACUUCAGAAGUCAGGGAAGCCUUGAUUGGUGCUAGUUGUAGCCUUCUGCUUGCAGUUGAGGAUAUUUCUCCACAGAAUUUA